GUUGCUUGCUUCCGCAGCACAUAUUAAAAUGGGAGCGAUACAGAUAUUAACAUGGCCCCUGAGCAAGAAUGACACGCAAAGUCAUGAAGCGGUCCAUAUAUUU